AGUCACAAAGAGUGGGACAUGACUGAGUGACUGAACAACAAUACUGCCCCCCCCCCAGGAGUGCUGGCUGCUGUGUUUUCUGUUGUCUGCCCUCUGUACUGACCCCAAGGCCAUAAUCAAUGGGCUCCCAUUGACCUAGAAGUCUGUGCCAAACUGAUGCCCUGCCCUGGAACUUGUAAUGAGAAAACCCCAAGAGAACUGCAGAACAGCAGAGGUUACAGCUGAAAAUCAUAUUUCCAAAAGCCAGCUCUCCCUAAGCUGAGAGACAAAGCCAGAGGGCAGAGGAGAGGGUGAGGGCCUUCCACUGUUAGGUGGAGGGAGGCCAGCAGAGGGGAGUACCUGAACCAUCAUAUCCUACCUGUGGGGCCCAGUAGUCCUACCCUGUGACCCACAGGUUGCCACCUACAGCCUGAGCUGAGCUGGGAGUUGGCUAUUGGGCCCGAGGGACACUGAAACCCACAGGGGUUCCACCAAACAUGUCUCCAUAGACUCAUGUCCUUCAAGCCCAAACGGGGAAGGAGGAGGGCUGAUCACAGCCACCCCAUGCAGGGGUAGGGUCUCUGGAAUCUAGCCCAGCACUGUAAUCCUCUGGGGAGCUUCAGAACACAGACCCUACCCAAGGGCAACUGACUACAUAGAUCUGGGGUGGGGCUGGGAGUUGACAGUGUCACAAAGCCCCCCAGGUGAUCAGGAUUCUGGGCCUGGCUUAAGAACCACUAGUUUGGGCCAUACACCCCUUGCCUCACAAAAACAGAAUCCCCCAUAUCUGGAUGGCAAAGGACAAGGUUUGGGGAGUAAUGGUGUUUUCUGGGAAGUUCCUCAUCAGACUGGCCAAGCCUGCUCUGCUCUCUCUUGGGGCUCCAGAUGCCACCCAGCCUCCUCCAGGAAGCCUACGAUUCUUGUAUCAAUGGUGGCCCGCGUAGCCAGGCGCCCUGGUGAAGAGGAGACUGGCCCAGCAGGUCUUCACAGGCAGAGACAAGACACACCAGAGACCUGAGCUGGGGCCCUGUGACUCAGUCCAGAACCCAGGCUCAUUCCAGCAAAACCUUCAUACCUCUUCUUAAGUAAUGGCACUCAGAAGGGCAGGCUGGAGAGCUGGUGUCUGCCAUCGCUUGCCUCUCUAAGAAGUCUGUGUCUCCAGCGGGCACUGGGGUCCACCAGGACUCUCCCACCCAGCGGACCCAGGGAGCUCAUGCUGGCCAGUGUGGGUGAGAGGUAGAGUCAGCCCUAUUUGUGGGUUGGUCUCAGACAGUAAACCGCGGGGAAGACCUUUUGAAGAGAAGACUGAUUACUAGAGAAGCCCUCCAGACUGCCUGGUAAACUCCAUUCCCUCAUCCAGAGAAGAUAUAUUGGGCACCUGUUUCACGCCAGUUUCCAUCCUAACCCAUAGACACCUACCUCCCCAGUGUGGCCCAGGAGAAUCCACAGGGGACAGUGAUGGAACAAUGAUGAUCACAUAUUAACAGCCUUCUUCAAGGCCCUUCCCAGGUGUUAAUCCUCACAACAGCCCUUGAGAGAGGCACAGAUGGGUAAACUGAGCCAUAGGUCAGUCAUCUGCCCAAGGCCACCCAGCUGGGCAUCUGGAGUCAGGCAGUCCGGCCCCAGAACCUUUGCCCCAACCACCACUAGAUCACUGUCCUCAUCAUUAUUAUAAUAAAAGCACUGUCCUGCCUGCUGAUCCUUCACAGGCACAACCUAGCACCCAGGACGUAGUACCCUCAAGGGUCUAAGUAAACCCAGGGUCUGAGGCAAGGGCUCGGCCUGCUGGACCCCCACCCUGCUGGACAUCAGACAAGAUCAGACAAGAUCUGCAACCUCUCAGCUUCUGCUUCCCUCACUUUAAAAUGGGAAUGAUAAUUAUUCAUAGAGUUCUCGAGAUAAUUACAUGAAACAAUGAAGAUUAAAGGGCUUAGCACUUUACAGCAUUUGCAGAUAAAAUUCUGGUAAAGGGGCUUCCUUGGUGGUCCAGUGGCUGAGAAUCCACACU